rnacentral:rRNA from 1 species
UACGUAGGGUGCAAGCGUUAAUCGGAAUUACUGGGCGUAAAGCGUGCGCAGGCGGCUAUGCAAGACAGAUGUGAAAUCCCCGGGCUUAACCUGGGAACUGCAUUUGUGACUGCAUGGCUAGAGUACGGUAGAGGGGGAUGGAAUUCCGCGUGUAGCAGUGAAAUGCGUAGAUAUGCGGAGGAACACCGAUGGCGAAGGCAAUCCCCUGGGCCUGUACUGACGCUCAUGCACGAAAGCGUGGGGAGCAAACAGG